rnacentral:rRNA from 1 species
GACGAACGCUGGCGGCGUGCUUAACACAUGCAAGUCGAGCGGUAAGGCCCUUUCGGGGGUACGACGAGCGGCGAACGGGUGAGUAACACGUGGGUGACCUGCCCUCAGCUCUGGGAUAAGCCUGGGAAACCGGGUCUAAUACUGGAUAUGACUCCAUGACGCAUGUUGUGGGGUGGAAAGCCUUGUGCGGCUGAGGAUGGGCCCGCGGCCUAUCAGCUUGUUGGUGGGGUGANGGCCUACCAAGGCGACGACGGGUAGCCGGCCUGAGAGGGCGACCGGCCACACUGGGACUGAGACACGGCCCAGACUCCUACGGGAGGCAGCAGUGGGGAAUCUUGCGCAAUGGGCGAAAGCCUGACGCAGCGACGCCGCGUGAGGGAUGAC